UAGGGAAUCUUUGGCAAUGGACGAAAGUCUGACCGAGCAACGCCGCGUGCGUGAAGAAGGUUUUCGGAUCGUAAAACUCUGUUGUUAGAGAAGAACAAGGACGUUAGUAACUGCACGUCCCCUGACGGUAUCUAACCAGAAAGCCACGGCUAACUACGUGCCAGCAGCCGCGGUAAUACGUAGGUGGCAAGCGUUGUCCGGAUUUAUUGGGCGUAAAGCGAGCGCAGGCGGUUUCUUAAGUCUGAUGUGAAAGCCCCCGGCUCAACCGGGGAAGGUCAUUGGAAACUGGGUGGCUUGAGUGCGGAAGAGGAGAGUGGAAUUCCAUGUGUAGCGGUGAAAUGCGUAGAUAUAUGUAGGAACACCAGUGGCGAAGGCGGCUCGCUGGUCUGUGACUGACGCUGAGGCUCGAAAGCGUGGGGAGCAAACAGG
rnacentral:rRNA from 1 species